GGGCGCACAGGGGAGAAGGUCUCGUUAGUGCCAGCAGGAGGGGCGUGGCGCCCUGGGGGCGCACAGGGGAGAAGGUCUCGUUAGUGCCAGCAGGAGGGGCGUGGCGCCCUGGGGGCGCAGAGGGGAGAAGGUCUCGUUAGUGCCAGCAGGAGGGGCGUGGCGCCCUGGGGGCGCAGAGGGGAGAAGGUCUCGUUAGUGCCAGCAGGAGGGACACGGCUCACAAUACAUCUGGAGUUGAUGUAACAUUGGGAGCAAAGUACAAGGCCAGG